rnacentral:tRNA from 1 species
GCGCGGGUGGCGAAAUUGGUAGACGCACCAGGUUUAGGUCCUGACGCCUUCAUCGGCGUGCCGGUUCGAGUCCGGCCCCGCGCACCA